UACGAGGGGGGCAAGCGUUGUUCGGAAUUAUUGGGCGUAAAGGGCGCGUAGGCGGUGCGGUAAGUCACCUGUGAAAACUCUGGGCUCAACUCAGAGCCUGCAGGCGAAACUGCCGUGCUUGAGUGUGGGAGAGGUGCGUGGAAUUCCCGGUGUAGCGGUGAAAUGCGUAGAUAUCAGGAGGAACACCGAUGGCGAAGGCAGAUCUCUGGGCCGUAACUGACGCUGAGGAGCGAAAGCAUGGGGAGCAAACAGG
rnacentral:rRNA from 1 species